rnacentral:lncRNA from 1 species
GCAGAUUCAUUCUUCACAUCUGACACCCAGUGCUGCCCAGUGGAAACUUUCCCUAAACUCACCUCCCAGCAGCAGCAGUUGCCCCUCCCCAUUGUGCCUUUCCCCAUCUAUUAUCACAGUAGAUAUAAUUUUACAUUUUAAAUACUUUAUGUUUUAAUUAUAUUUAAAAGAUAUUUGAUAUAGGCAUUAACUAAGACAUUGUAUUUAAUCUUAUUUAAUUACCAUACUUAAUAAAUGUCAUUAUAUGUUUUAAUUAUUUACUCUGUUUCCCCAGAAGCUAACACCAUGCCAACCAUUUAAGAGGUCCCCAAUAAAUAUUCCUGAAUAAAGAAAUGAGUAAGUAAAUGAUAGACAUAUCAAUCAAGACAAAAUGAUAUAAAUUCCUAACGGUUAAAAAUGCAAGUUUUGAGUCAGAUUUCUGGCUUCACAUUCUUCCUCAACACCUACUAGCUGAAAAAAACUUGAGAACAGUACAGAGAUUAAAGUCACUUAAUCAAUAGGAGAUUGUUAGUAAGGAACUAGUGAGGGUUAAUUUUACGUGUCAGCUUGGCUAGUCUACGGUACCCAACUGUUUGGUCAAACACCAGUCUGCAUGUUGCAUCAAAGGUGUUUUUUACAUGCAAUUAACAUUUAAAUCAGUAACCUCUGAGUAAAGCAGAUCACGCUCCAUAAGGUGGGUGGAACUCAUUCAAUCACUCAAAGACCUUAAGAGGAACUUCAAAGAGGAAGAAAUUCCCAAAAUUGCAACACAGAAACACUGCCUGAGUUCCCAACCUGCUGCCUUGAGGCAUUCAGACUCAAGACUGCAGUGUCAACUCUUACCUGAAUUUCAAAUUUCAGACUUUCCAGUCCCUACAAUCACGUGAGCCAAUUCCUAAAAAUAACUUUAUUUCUAUCUCUCUUCCUCCUUCCCACCCCUCCCUCUUUGUCUCUCUCUCUCUGCCUCUCUUUCUGUCUCUAUUUUUUAAUAUAUUAUAUAUACAACACAGAUUAUAUGAUAUAGAAUCACAUCUAAUAUAACAAUAUAUAAAUACAUAAUUUAUAUGUGUGUGUGUGUGUUCUGUCUUUCUGGAAAACCGUACCUAAUAUAGGUCUAUACCAGAAAACCCAAGAGAGGCCAAUAGCCCUGUCUUACACAAAAAAAGAGAAGAUAGAAUCAGGCUCCUGGGACCAGGACCAGUUACGAAGCAAGGGUCUGAGCAGCAGGACUUGUACUUCUUGUUCUAAAGCUUUGCCACCGAUGUAGCUCUGCUAUUCCUUCAUGUCUCUGUCAUUCUCCAGUAGCUAGAGAUUGACUCUCCAUAUGCUAGUCUGUUUAUCUAUUCCCUGUCUUGUAUCUUCUGCUUACUCAUUAGUUUGUGACUCUUUAUCUUCCUCAUUAUUUCUGCUUCCUCAUGACUUUGGUUUGUUGCAAUCCUCAAGGCGCCAAUGCUAUUCCGUGGCUUUUCUCUAAGUAGUCUUUCAGUUUCAGCUCCAGGGCUGACUUCUUCCCUGUCAUUACAAUUCACAUAUCACAUUCCUGAUAGAGAGAACUGAGUUAGCACAGCUCAUCUUUUGAGGCCAGUUGAUGGUAUAGGGCUCUGGCCAGGUUGGGAAUCAGCUGCCUUUGGGACAAGUACCUAUUUCUGGAAUAAUGAACUACAGUUGGGGACAAGAGCCAUGUGAUGCUAGCACAGCCAUCUGAGACUGUUUCUUGCAGAGCAACUAUAAAAAUUUUUCCCUUGGAGGAUCCUUAAAAUAUUAAAAAUAGAACUACCAUAUGACCAGCAAUUUCUCUCCUGGGAAUAUACCCAAAGGAAAUGAAAACACUAACCUAAAAAGAUAUCUUCACUCCCCCAUGUUCAUAGCAACAUUAUUUACAAUAGCCAAGGAUGGAAACAAAGUGUACAUCAAAUGGAUGAAUGGAUAAAGAAGUAACAAAUGGAAUAUUAUUCAGCUAUAAAAAGGAGGAAAUCUUACCAUGUGUUGCAACAUGAAUGGACCUUGAAGAUUUUGUGCUAAGUAAGACAGAGAAAGACAAAUAAUAUAUGAUCUCACUUACAUGUGAAAUCUAAAAGAAAAAAAGGUCAAAUUUAUAGGAAAAGAAGAUCAGACGUUUUUUACCAGUAGCAUAGGGCGUGGGGAGGAGAAAUGGAGGAAGACGGUCAAAAGGCACAAACUUCCACUUCUAAGUAAGUAUUAGAGAGGCAAUAUACAAUAUGAUGGCUAUAUUAACACCGUUGUUUGACGUACAGGAAAGCUAUUUAGAGAGUAAAUCCUGAGAGCUCUCAUCUCUAGAAAAAUAUUUUAUCCUUUUUUGUCUUUCUUUUCUUUUUUAUUGUAUCUAUAUGAGAAGAUGGAUAUUAGCUGAAUUUAUUGUGGCAAUCCUUUCAAAAUAUAUGUAAGUCAAACUAUGAUGCUAUAUACCUUAAACUUAUACAAUGAUACAUGUCAUUUAUUGCUCAGUAAAACUACAGAGGGUGGGGGAAGAACACACAACUUCAGGAAAGGCAAAGAUAAAACAUUUUAAAUCACUGUGAUGCAUUUGGAUGGGCUGAAGGAGGUGUAAGAUGGCUGUCCUGAGACAGUGCCACAUAGGCUUUCUCUUCUGCAGACAAUUUGGCUUUAAAUCAUUAGGACUCUUACUGCUUUAGAAAACAGUUUAUAUAUUCCUUAAAAAUGUUAAACUUAGUGUCACCACAAGAGCCCAUAUUCCACUCCUAGAUACACCCAAGGGAAAUGAACACAGUUGUCCAUAUCAAAACUUGCACAUGAAUGUUCAGUGCAGCAUUUUUCAUACUAGCCAAAAAGUGGAACGAAUUCAAAUGUCCAUCAAUUAAUGAAUGAAAAACUAAAAUGUGGCAUAUCUAUGCAAUGGAAUAUUAUUUAGAAAUGAAAAGCAAUGAAGUACAGAAACAUGCUAUAAUGCUAAUGAACCUUAAAAACUCAGGCUAAGUGAAAGAAGUCACUCACAGAAGACCAUUCGAUUAUGUGAAAUCUCCAGAACAGGUAGAGCUAUCAUGACAGAAAACAGAUUAGUUUUCAUCUAGGACUGGGCAAAUGAUGCAGAGAAAUGGGAACUGACUACCUAUGGGUAUAAUGUUUCUUUUGUAAUAAUGAAAAUAUUCAAAAACGCAUUGUGGGUGAUGGUUCAAAAUUCUGUGAAUAUACAAAAUCCACUGAAUUUUACAAUUUAAAUUGGUGAAUCAUGGGAGUUCUCUUGUGGCAUAGUGGGUUAAGGAUCCAGCGUUGUCACUGCAGUGGCUUGAACUGCUGCGGUGGUGCGGGUUUGAUCGCUGUCCUGGGAGUUUCCACAUGUCUCAUGUGUGGCCAUAAGUAAACAAAUAAAUACAUAAAUAAUUGGCAAAUCACAUAGCAUGCAAAUUAUAUCUCAAUAAAAUUGUUUACAAAAUAAACUGAAGUUUCCCUUAGAAGGAGCUGUGAGUACCUGAUGACAUGCCUAUAAAAGAGGAAAACGGCAUUGGCAGAAAAGGGAACAGUCACAGUAGGAUGACUAGGGUAGGAGCUCUCAGUGGCCCUCAAGUAGGUAGCAUUUGGCAUCAUCAAUGGCUGCAGCACAGACCACUUCUGAGCUGUACUCGGUCACUAUCAAGGUCAAAGAAGACCUAGGAGUUCCCUUUGUAACUCGGUGGGUUACUAAUGACUAGUACCCAUGAGGACUUGGGUCCAAACCCUGGCCCUGCUCAGUGGGUUAAGGAUCCAGCAUUGCCGUGAGCUGUGGUGUAGGUCACGGAUACAGCUCAGAUCCCUCGCUGUUGCACCUGUGUUGUAGGCUGGCAGCUGCAGCUCCAAUUCGACCCCUAGCCUGGGAACUUCCAUAGGCCAUGGGUGUGCCCCACCCCCCAAAAAAAGACAAAAGGUCAAAGAAGACUUGGAAGUUACAAAAAUGAGAUUGAGUCAGAGAUGAUGACAUUAUUCAUACUGUUGUUGUGAACAGUAUUAACAGUGUUCAUCGCGUUCAUAAUACUGUCAUGAGCCCUAUAUCGUACUUUCACUAGAUGGGAGAGCCUUCAGAAAUAUUUACAAUCUUUGGAGGAGACAGGGUUUGACUAGGAAUAGUCCAAAUUCCAGUGCAAUAUUCAGAUACACCAUAGACUACCUGCCCCCUCUUCAUUUCAGCUCCUUGAUACUGUGGGAAAUCACAGUAAGACUUUUAAAUGAUCUCAGUCAGAUCAGUGCAGACCCUUAAAGAUCACUCCUCACUUAGAAAUACCGCUGAACAGAACUGUGACGAGGGCAUCCCUGAUUAGACAGUUUCUAGCUAGUGGGCUGGCAUGCAGCUGUACUACCUAACACAGUAGCCACUCACUAUAAGUGGAUAUUUCCACUUAAACGGACUUAAGUUAAAUUGUAAAUUGAGUUCUCAGUCAUAUUAGCCACAUUUCAAAUACUCAGUAGCCACAUGUAGCAAACAGCUAUUACACUGGACAGUCCAGAUAGAGAGUCUCAAGAAAAACAAGGUUUGAAUCCCUUCCCUCAGAUACUGAAUUUUUAAAAAUUGACCCAUUUCCUAGAAAGUAAAGUGAAUACACCAUAAAAUAUGGCCAAAACACCAGAGCAUGAAAUCGCCUUUGCAGUGCCAAGUGCAGAGCCAUCAUAUCGUGAGAUAGGCAUGCCCAGAUACUGGGGCACAAGGUGGGUAGGUGAUUCAGCAAAGCCUUUAGAGAAACCCCAAAUAUCAGAAAGUUGGUGUUUUCCAGAGAAAUCCUAUACAGGCCUCUGAGAAAGAGUUCUGAAAGCUGACUGAAACAAUCAGCUACCAUGAGGAAAGACAAGUUUGAGGGAGGAAAAUCAUAGAAUUUGAUAGAGUUUACAAGCCCUUCUCUCGAAGGCAGCCAUGUUCUCACACAGCCCUGAGGAUCCGUACCCCAGGUGUCUGGAUACUGAGACACAUAACCAUUCAAGCAGCACCCAGAAAAAAGGCUAGAAAUAUUAUGGGAAGCAGUAUGAGGAGGAGGACUUAAUAAGUAACUGGAAGUUGGAGAGCAUCUGGGCCAAUCAAUGAUCAGCAAUGUCAGUUACAAGGACAGUUACUCCAGGACCCUGCCCCUCUCAACCAGGUCAGGAGAGACCAGGACGAGAUGGAGCUCUACAGGUCCUCGUGUAUUUUUUGUUGUUUAUUCAACAGUAUUAUUAAUCACCCCCUUUUACUUUUUUAACCUUCUCAUAAUGGGAAAACACCUAAUUAAUAUCAUCAUGGACUCUUAGAAUAUUUAUUUGAACCUUUUCAUUCUAAGGUUUAUCAGUCAAGUUCUUUUAACUUAUUGGGUUGGAAACUGAGUGGCCGAUGGCAGAGCUUAUAAUUAGUGUGGACAUAUCUCCCGGUUUGCCUGCAUGGCUCUGGUUUAUGUUGCUGCUCUGAAAUAAUUAUUAUCAGAGUUCCCCUUUGCUCACAGAAGUCCUAGUUUGGACCAUAAAUAUAUAGUUCCCUACCCAUAAUUCUAUUCUCUAAAUGUGUUCCAACGUGCCAAAGGCAAAACGCGUUGUUUUUCAGCGGCUCGUGGUUUUAGCGCCACUUUCCAUCUCAGCAAAUGUCACCUUGGGUGGAAGACAUUACUUCACCAAAUUGGCAUUGCUGACCACUUUCAAAACUAUUUCAUUCUGAUGCCUUUUUUAACCUCUCUGUACUUCUCAGAUUCAGUUUUAGUGUCAGUUUUCCUUUGCACAGCCUUCUUUCUGUCCUUCACUCUUCAAGAAUGUUUUUCCUCUGGCUUUCUAUUUUCCUACCUCUGUUGGAAAAGACCUCCGUUGUCUAUUUUUCUACAUUUACUAUAAUGUGUGCCUUCUAUUUGUGGUUUCCUUUCUUCCCACAGUCAAUUUGUCUGUCAUGUUUUAAAUGACGAUUUUUUUAGUAAACGAUAGCACUUCACAAACAUCCACUGGUAGAAUGUGCAAUACCUGAUAACUAAACUUUUUAUUCUACCUCGACUUUAUUAUAUGGAACUUUAAUCCGAUUGGUUAAAUUUUCUAGUAUCUUUAAAACAGUCUGAAAAGCAAGAGUCUGCUGGUUAAAUGGUUACCAACCAGCCUUAUGGAACUAGGGGUGGGGGGUAGGGGCAGGCCUUGAAGCAUUGCUGAUUUCCAUGGUGUAAAAACCCACACCAUGGAUGACUUCCAGCUAUAGAUAUACCUCAACCAAUUUGUGAAAAUUUAAUAACUGGCCCUCAUGAGCC